rnacentral:tRNA from 1 species
UAAAUUUCUAAUUUUUGUUUUUAGAAGGGUUUUGAAAACCUUUAGAGGGAAAUAUUUUCCCAACUUUAC